rnacentral:rRNA from 1 species
UACGGAGGGUGCAAGCGUUAUCCGGAUUCACUGGGUUUAAAGGGUGCGUAGGUGGGUUGGUAAGUCAGUGGUGAAAUCUCCGAGCUUAACUUGGAAACUGCCAUUGAUACUAUCAGUCUUGAAUACCGUGGAGGUCAGCGGAAUAUGUCAUGUAGCGGUGAAAUGCUUAGAUAUGACAUAGAACACCAAUUGCGAAGGCAGCUUACUACACAGUUAUUGACGCUGAGGCACGAAAGCGUGGGGAUCAAACAGG